GAUGAAGAACGCAGAGAAAUGCGAUAAGUAAUGUGAAUUGCAGAAUUCAGUGAAUCAUCGAAUCUUUGAACGCACAUUGCGCCCGCCAGUAUUCUGGCGGGCAUGCCUGUUCGAGCGUCAUUUCAACCAUCAAGCCCCCGGGCUUGUGUUGGGGACCUGCGGCUGCCGCAGGCCCUGAAAAGCAGUGGCGGGCUCGCUGUCACACCGAGCGUAGUAGAUUUUAUCUCGCUCUGGGCGUGCUGCGGGUUCCGGCCGUUAAACCACCCUUUUAACCCAAGGUUGACCUCGGAUCAGGUAGGAAGACCCGCUGAACUUAAGCAUAUCAAUAAGCGGAGGA
rnacentral:misc_RNA from 1 species